rnacentral:piRNA from 2 species
AUCCCACCGCUGCCAGGCCAGAGUUUU